rnacentral:rRNA from 1 species
AUUGAACGCUGGCGGCAGGCUUAACACAUGCAAGUCGAGCGGGGUGAUGGUGCUUGCACUAUCACUUAGCGGCGGACGGGUGAGUAAUGCUUAGGAAUCUGCCUAUUAGUGGGGGACAACACCUCGAAAGGGAUGCUAAUACCGCAUAUGUCCUACGGGAGAAAGCAGGGGAUCACAUGUGACCUUGCGCUAAUAGAUGAGCCUAAGCCGGAUUAGCUAGUUGGUGGGGUAAAGGCCUACCAAGGCGACGAUCUGUAGCGGGUCUGAGAGGAUGAUCCGCCACACUGGGACUGAGACACGGCCCAGACUCCUACGGGAGGCAGCAGUGGGGAAUAUUGGACAAUGGGGGGAACCCUGAUCCAGCCAUGCCGCGUGUGUGAAGAAGGCCUUAUGGUUGUAAAGCACUUUAAGCGAGGAGGAGGCUCUUUUGGUUAAUACCCAGAAUGAGUGGACGUUACUCGCAGAAUAAGCACCGGCUAACUCUGUGCCAGCCGCCGCAGUAAUAC